rnacentral:rRNA from 1 species
CCGGGACCAUCCGGUAAGGCUAAAUACUCCCGAGAGACCGAUAGCGAACCAGUACCGUGAGGGAAAGGUGAAAAGCACUUCGAACAGAAGAGUGAAAUAGUUCCUGAAACCGUGCGCCUACAAGCGGUCGGAGCUCGUUAAUGAGUGACGGCGUGCCUUUUGCAUAAUGAACCUACGAGUUGCCUUUGCCGGCAAGGUUAAGUGUGACGACACACGUAUCCGAAGCGAAAGCGAGUCUGAAUAGGGCGUAUAGUCGGCAGUGGCAGACGCGAAACCAAGUGAUCUACCCUUGGCCAGGUUGAAGGCUGGGUAACACCAGCUGGAGGACCGCACCAAUAAGCGUUGAAAAGCUUCUGGAUGAGCUGAGGGUAGGGGUGAAAGGCUAAUCAAACUUGGAGAUAGCUCGUACUCCCCGAAAUGCAUUUAGGUGCAGCCUUGCGGGUUACUGAUGUGAGGUAGAGCGACUGAUAAGAUGCGAGGGCUUCACCGCCUAUCAAGUCUUGACAAACUCCGAAUGCGCAUCAGUUCUACCGCAGGAGUGAGGGCAUGGGUGCUAAGGUCCGUGCCCGAGAGGAGAAGAAUCCGGACCACCUGCUAAGGUCCCGAAAUGACAGCUAAGUUAAACUAACGAAGUCUGACUGCUAAGACAGCUAGGAUGUUGGCUUGGAAGCAGCCAUUCAUUUAAAGAGUGCGUAACAGCUCACUAGUCGAGGAGUCGGGCGUGGAUAAUAAUCGGGUAUCAAGUUGUCUACCGAAGCAGUGGGAUCAUUGAUAUGAUCGGUAGGGGAGCAUUCCAGUCAGCGUCGAAGGCGUACCGUGAGGUAUUCUGGAGCGUCUGGAAAAGCAAAUGUAGGUAUAAGUAACGAUAAAGGGGGCGGGAAACCCCCUCGCCGAAAGACUAAGGUUUCCUGAUCAACGCUAAUCGGAUCAGGGUCAGUCGGGUCCUAAGGCUCAGCCGAACGGCGAUGCCGAUGGCAGAAACGGUUAAUAUUCCGUUACUACCUUCAGGAGUGACGUGGAGACGCAGUAGUGACAGUGCCGCCAUCUGACGGAAUAGAUGGUUGAAGGGUGUAGGAGUCGAUCAUGGCAGGCAAAUCCACCAUGAGAUCCGAACCUGAUAGUAUGCCGCGUCCUUCGGGACAAGGCAAUAGUGCGCGUAAGCAUGCUGCCGAGAAAAUCCGCUAAACUUAAUCCUGGAGGUACCCGUACCGCAAACGGACACACGUAGUCGGGAUGAAUAUUCUAAGGCGCUUGAGUGAUUCACGGUUAAGGAACUAGGCAAACUGACCCUGUAACUUCGGGAUAAAGGGUCCCUACCCUUUUAUGGGAGGGCGCAGAGAAUCGGUCCAGGCAACUGUUUAACAAAAACACAGGGCUGUGCCAAAUCGAAAGAUCCAGUAUACAGCCUGACACCUGCCCGGUGCUGGAAGGUUAAGAGGAGAUGUCAUCGAUAAGAGAAGCGUUGAAUUGAAGCCCCAGUAAACGGCGGCCGUAACUAUAACGGUCCUAAGGUAGCGAAAUUCCUUGUCGGGUAAGUUCCGACCUGCACGAAUGGUGUAAUGAUCUGGACGCUGUCUCAACCGUGAGCUCAGUGAAAUUGUAGUAUCGGUGAAGAUGCCGAUUACCCGCGAUGGGACGAAAAGACCCCGUGAACCUUUACUAUAGCUUAUCAUUGAAUCUGGGCACGUGAUGUGUAGGAUAGGUCGGAGGCUUUGAAGCAGGUACGCCAGUAUUUGUGGAGCCGCUGUUGAAAUACGACCCUUUAUUUGUUUGGAUUCUAACCCGUGGAACGGGGACAUUGAUUGGUGGGUAGUUUGACUGGGGUGGUCGCCUCCAAAAGCGUAACGGAGGCUUCUAAAGGUGCCCUCCGGCCGAUUGGUAACCGGCCUUAGAGUGUAAUGGCAUAAGGGCGCUUGACUGGGAGACUGACAAGUCGAUCAGGUAGGAAACUAGAGCAUAGUGAUCCGGUGUUUCC